rnacentral:piRNA from 1 species
GUUGGAAUUCAGAGCAUUGCUCUU